rnacentral:rRNA from 1 species
UACGUAGGGUGCAAGCGUUGUCCGGAAUUAUUGGGCGUAAAGAGCUCGUAGGCGGUUCGUCGCGUCGGCUGUGAAAUCCCGAGGCUCAACCUUGGGCUUGCAGUGGGUACGGGCAGACUAGAGUGCGGUAGGGGUGACUGGAAUUCCUGGUGUAGCGGUGGAAUGCGCAGAUAUCAGGAGGAACACCGAUGGCGAAGGCAGGUCACUGGGCCGCAACUGACGCUGAGGAGCGAAAGCAUGGGGAGCGAACAGG